AAAAGGUAUACAGGAUUUACAACUACCGGGUACUGGGUAGAAAACCAACAACUCUUCUGAGGAAUAAAAGGUAUAUAACCACAAAUUCCGCCAAGAAAAGGGAACAUAGGACUUACAACUACCGGUUAUUGGGUAGAGGCCCAAACUCCGCUGGGGAUAAGAUGAACUAUUACCGGUUACUGGGCAAUUCAUUCAUUUAUUCCACAGGGAAGCACAAAAGACAGUUGAAAAAAUGCCAAUUCAGGAUCAAAC
rnacentral:lncRNA from 1 species